AGGAUUGUAGUUAAUUAUAACAUUUGAAUUGCAAUCAAAAAGUACCUCUAAGGUUAAUCUUU
rnacentral:tRNA from 1 species